UAAGGAAAAUGGAAUUCGUAGCAGGUUAGC
rnacentral:piRNA from 1 species